rnacentral:lncRNA from 1 species
CAUAAUAUAAAAGGUUGAUGUCCGCAUUACUCUAUUCCAUUGAAAUCUUUGUUUAGUACAUGCUAUUUCAAAUAUAUUCAACUUGGAGUUAUUUUGACCAGGGGUCAGAAUUUCUUCAAAUAUGUUCUUAAAUUCAUUCGAGAUGUGAGUAAAACUCAAAUUAGAGAAGAAUAUGGUGCUUAGGUUCCUUUUAUUGGAACCAUGUUUCUAUUUAUUUUUGUUUCUAAUUCGUUUUGAGUUCUUUUGCUCUGGAAAUUCAUAAAAUUACUCAUGGAGAGUUAGCACACCCACGAAUGAUAUAAAUAUUACAGUUGCUUUGGCUUUACUCACAUUAGUAGCGUAUUUCUAUGUAGGUCUUACCUAAAAAGGAUUGAGUUACUUUGGGAAAUAUAUUCAACCAACUCCAAUCCUUUUACCCAUUAACAUCUUAGAAGAUUUCACAGAGUCCUUAUAACUUAGUUUCAAUUUUUUGGGAAUAUCUUCGUGGAUGAAUUAGUAGUUGUUCUUAUUUAUUUAAUACUUUUAGUGGUUUCUAUCCCUGUCAUGUUCCUUGGACUAUUUACUAGUGGUAUUUAAGCUAUUAUCAAGUUAACCAUAAUUGAGUAAUCUGAGCCCGUGUACGACUGCUGCUUAUAAAUAGUUUAUAAUUUGUCAAAUUAUUU